UACAGCAAAUAUCUGUUUUAAAGCAAAAAUGUAUUGAACCAAACCGUUUAGGGUUUGUAUAUUGAUUGUGAAUAAAAUAAAUAUAUAGUUUUGUAGAUCCGUACUUAUAUCAGUUUCAAAAACUGUCUUCUCUAUUUGAAAACAUACUUAUCAUAUAAAAAUAAUUUUCCUAAUCCUAAAAAACGCAUAAAGGUUUAAUAGACUUCGAGAAUUAACAUAAUGAAUCACUGUU
rnacentral:lncRNA from 1 species